UCGCUGGGUUAUGGUUUAGGUGGCGCUGGUGGGUUGGGUGGAGCUGGUGGUGGACUUGGUGGUGCUGCGUCAGGUGGUGGAGCUCCCGGUGGCGGUGUGGGUACUGGGUCGUCUUUGUAUGGAUUGGCGCCAAGUUCAGCUGGGUUGCCCUCUAGUAGGUUCCCAGAGAGCGGGCACUACGGCUUGUCGUCCUAUCAGAAUCAGCACCACCAGCAAGCUGGAACAUCACCCAUGCCUAGGGUUCCGCCAGGGGGGAUGUACCCGAAUGUGCCACCUUAUUACUGAGGUGUAUGACCGCUUGUUGGGCGCUGAUGCUUUAUCUGGUUCUGGUGAUUGCGUGAUUGCAGAUAUAUGCUCUGGUUUGAUGAUUGUAUUAGCUGUGCUUUUAUCGCCUCUUCCUCACAUCAUCUGAACCUUUUAAGGUGUAGGUUGUUUCUGAGUUGUGGUAGCCAAAGUGACUAAAUUAGAUUAGUCUUUUGUAUUCUGUCAGGUACUGAUGUGUUAUGUGAGUUAUGUUUUUUUCAAUAUAAAGUAUAGUUUUGUUUUUAUAAUUGCAGAUUUACAUUUUCUUUUACAUCGAGAAAAGAUGUAUGGCCGUUGUUUCUCUGACAUGUUUAUUUGAUUAUUGGUGUGACUUUGUUUUUAUGGA